CAGAGAUACACUGUAGUAACUCCCGAGAACAAUAUUCCGAUACUAAGUUGUUGAGCGCACGCGCUCCGCUUAUAUAAAUCUCAUAUGCAUAAUACGAACAGAUGAUUUCUCCAAAGCGUACUGCUGGUUUCCUAUUAAAUAUUGUAAGUAAAACCGAAAAGAAGUCGUGAAACUGUCAACCCACAACGUAGUAUGGAAGAGGACUUAAUUUAUAGUACCCUCGAGUGUCCUUCUCUUCUUUUUCCAAAUCCUUAGAUGACGAAAGCUACGAAUACUUACCUUUUUUGUACUAUUCUUAUAUAUAUGUAAUUCUACUGAUUUUUAAAUAUUUUUAAAAGCUUUCAUUUUACUUUAAAUACAGCAAGUAGUAUUACAGGCAUACAAUACUUCCCUUGCGGUUUUGAAAUAAAUGCUCAAAUAUUACUAUUAUUAGACUACUUACGGGGAAGGUGCCAAAAUUUUUUAAUAAAAUAUUAAUUUUUAUACCAUAAUAUCUACAAACAAAUAAAAUUUCAUAUCGUAACACACGUAUAUGUUAUAGCGAAUUCAGCUUUUCUAUGUAAUAAAGUUUUUAUUAUUUAAAACGUGUCCAUAUUAUUAUAUUUAUUAAAAAAAUAAAAGGUAGGGAGACGCGGGAAAAGAUUUUUUUCGGAGAAGCGUAGUAGUAUAAAAAUUGGAAAGCGCUGAAAUAUAACAUGAUAAUAGACUCGUAGUAAAAUUUGCCAAUAGCUAAAAGUAGGUCAUAUUAUAUCAGUUUUUAUAGAUAUUUUGUACUUUCCUACACAGCAUCGGUGGUUCAGUGGUAGAAUGCUCGCCUGCCACGCGGGCGGCCCGGGUUCGAUUCCCGGCCGAUGCAAAGUAUUUUUUGCCUUAAAAAUUGUAAUUUUCUAUUACGUACUGCGUUUUAUUUUUAUGUUGUAUCAUUAUGUGUGUCACUCUCUGUGUUGCAAUUUUAAAACAGACAGUCUCGUGACCUACGAUGUAAUACCUAAGAGGACUUAAUUUAUUACACUCUUAAGGUUGUGUCGCUAGCACUUCCUAGAUCCCAUUAGUAUAGAAAACUGAACGAUUGUUUUAAAUAUUUUUAAGGCUUCACGUUCUCUUACUGUAUAACGACUAUUAAGUAAAAUAACUGAAAUAAUAUCUGUGUUCUUUAUUUAAAUAAUGGAAUUUGGUACCUGGCAACUCUGCGAUUUCAAGUCACUUGGAUGGCUGCGUAUUUUUAUACGCAUAUAUAUACAUACAUAUGUAGAUGACAAUACUGAAAACAUGCACAUUAAGUAUCAACUAGAAGUCAUUCAAAAACUAGGGUACGAAAAUGACAACACACAGAUUUUUCUUUCUUGUUUCUUCGAAAAAAGUGCAAAUAUUUGAUGUUUCUUCUAUUAGAGAAAAUAAAUGUGGGAAAUACGUAUAAAAUAGUCUUUUCGCAAAAAAGCCGGCUUUACAAUAUCAUAAUCAGGAGAAAUAUUCCGAUGAAUUUUUUCUUUUAAGGUUUCUUAUAAUAAAUUUCUUAUUGGCAAUUAUAACUAAACUUGAUAACAUUGCUUAGAAGGCAACUUUGUUAUUUGUAUUGGGCUAUUAUAUUUAUAGAUAAUAUGUAUACGUAUAUACAUAAGUAUAUGAUCGUUGUAAUGAGAUUAAGUCAGUUGUUAAAUCUAAUUACCAGACUUAGCAGCGUGUAUCUUUUUUAUGUAUGUAUAUACAUGAUCGGUUAUCUGUUUGAAUUAGACCUGAAGUUAGUAGGUUUGUAUGUUUUGAGAAUUGCUUUUAUAUGUUGUUUGUUAUCGAAAAAGAUCCUUCGCGAGCCUGAGAAAACUCCUUGAGGGCCUGCUGCAAAAAUAUGAUGCACAAUGCAAAUUUGUACUACAAACUUAUGAUGAAUCGCUGUGUCUGUCGCACAUCGGUCCAUUGUAGUAAAUACAACAAAUAGGUCUGGAGCUUUCGAACGGAUCUUAGGUGCCAAUAUCAACCAAAAGUAUUUAAAAGUGAGGACUGAUUCAGAUUGUAUUACAAUUUAUCUAAAACUAGAUCAUACUAGUUCUAUUUCUGCAUAAUAUUUUGUAACGUUUUCCGUAGCAUCGGUGGUUCAGUGGUAGAAUGCUCGCCUGCCACGCGGGCGGCCCGGGUUCGAUUCCCGGCCGAUGCAACUUUUUCUUUUUUCUUUGUAAUUUUAUAGUAUGCUAUAAUUUUAACAGUUUUUUUCAUAUAUCAUAGAAUUUAUUAUAGAUUUAUUAAAUAAACAUUACAAUUGUCACAAUAACAUAGUUGAUAAUUUAAUCCACAGUAAAGAAAUGAGUUAAAGAUUGGUAUUAUCAAAAACUGAUAAUUUAUCGAACAUCUAUCAAAUAUCAAACUGGAAAAUAUUUUGUCUAGGGUAAAGAUAUCUUGCUAAUUGAAGUACUUUGAGAGGGAUUGAUACUAAAUGGAGAUUAAAAUCGUUUGAGAAAUCGAAGAAAAUUCUGACGCAUGGCUGAAGUAUUCCUAUAAGGAUUCCCAACUAAAUAUUAAGUAUCCAAUUUUCGUCACACUCUCUUAUACUUUAAAAUAUAUGUAAUUGGAGGAGUGAAAUUGAAAAAGAUUACUGAUUAAGAAUUAUAAUGCUUGAAAUUGCUUUCUAAGGCUUGAAUAGGUGAAAUUGUAUUACUCAAAGAAUGCAUGAAAUGGCAUACUAUUUUACAGUAUGAGUAUAUGUGCUCGUUUCGUUGCAUUGGACCCUGUAACCAAGCUUCUGUCCUUACAAGCUAUGCACACAUUUCACAGAUGGUCGUGUAUACAAAUAUAUAAAUAGCCAACUUGGUGCAGUGGUUCUCAAACUGGACCAAACAUUCUAGUCAGAAAAAUAGUCACGUAUGUAUAAAUGUUUAAACGUGUAAAUACCUUCUCUGUUUAUUAUGAACAUUAAUUAACAUUGAUUAAAUUUAUAUACAAUAUUUAAGAAUCACGUUAAACAUUUUUAGAUCAGAUUGAGAAACACUGUAGUGUUAUAGAUGUGAAGAUCAACCGAUUAUUUUUCUGGCUUCUUCAUGAAACACCUUAGUCAUCAAUUAAUUACAUUGGGUGAAAAUCGGCCGAUAGGCGAAGCUAGUAACCAUGAAUUAUUACAUAAGUCAGUUUGCUGUAUUCCGCAAAUUGUCUAGGGGUUCGCGUAUGAAUUUUUCAUUAGCCACUACCAGUUGCGCGAAUACUUUAAAGGUCGACA